AAGCGUAUUGGUAGCAGGAAGCCAAGGGCGGUAGCGUU
rfam:Salmonella enterica subsp. enterica serovar Enteritidis str. LA5, WGS project CAGR02000000 data, contig: Scaffold30-Contig2